rnacentral:lncRNA from 1 species
CGGCCUGGAACGUCUGCGUUUAGAUGUGUUUCGUCGCCUGCUAAGCCGCCCGGCCCUCAGUCAGCGCCGCCGCAGCCGCCGUCGCCGGCUAAGCCGCCGGGCCCACAGCCACCACCUCCGCAGCCGCCCUCGCCAGCUAAGCCACCUAGCCCUCAGCCACCGCCGCCGCAACCGCCCUCGCCGGUUAAGCCACCUAGCCCGCAGCCACCGCCGCCGCAGCCGCCCUCGCCAGCUAAGCCACCCAGCCCGCAGCCACCACCUCCGCAGCCACCCUCGCCACCUAAGCCGCCCAGCCCACAGCCACCACCUCCGCAGCCGCCCUCGCCAGCUAAGCCACCUAGCCCACAGCCACCACCGCCGCAGCCGCCGUCGCCACGCGCUAAGCCACCUAGCCCACAGCCACCACCUCCGCAGCCACCCUCGCCAGCUAAGCCGCCUAGCCCACAGCCACCACCUCCGCAGCCGCCCUCGCCACCUAAGCCGCCCAGCCCACAGCCACCGCCGCCGCAACCGCCCUCGCCGGUUAAGCCGCCCAGCCCGCAGCCACCACCUCCGCAGCCACCCUCGCCACCUAAGCCGCCCAGCCCACAGCCACCGCCGCCGCAACCGCCCUCGCCGGUUAAGCCACCUAGCCCACAGCCACCACCUCCGCAGCAGCCCUCGCCAGCUAAGCCGCCUAGCCCGCAGCCACCGCCGCCGCAACCGCCCUCGCCACCUAAGCCGCCCAGCCCACAGCCACCGCCGCCGCAACCGCCCUCGCCGGUUAAGCCACCAAUCCCACAGCCACCACCUCCGCAGCCGCCCUCGCCACCUAAGCCGCCUAGCCCUCAGCCACCGCCGCCGCAACCGCCCUCGCCGGUUAAGCCACCUAGCCCACAGCCACCACCUCCGCAGCAGCCCUCGCCAGCUAAGCCGCCUAGCCCGCAGCCACCGCCGCCGCAACCGCCCUCGCCACCUAAGCCACCUAGCCCACAGCCACCGCCGCCGCAGCAGCCCUCGCCGGUUAAGCCACCAAUCCCACAGCCACCAC